GGAAUCAACGCUGGCGGCGUGCCUAACACAUGCAAGUCGAACGCGAAAGGGGAGCAAUCCCUGAGUAGAGUGGCAAACGGGUGAGUAACACGUGGGUGACCUGCCUUCGAGUGGGGGAUAACGUUCCGAAAGGAACGCUAAUACCGCAUGACAUCCUGCUUUUGGAAAAGCGGAGAUCAAAGCUGGGGAUUCGCAAGAACCUAGCGCUUGAAGAGGGGCCCGCGCCUGAUUAGCUAGUUGGUGAGGUAACGGCUCACCAAGGCUACGAUCAGUA
rnacentral:rRNA from 1 species